rnacentral:lncRNA from 1 species
CUCGGGCAGUGGAGCUACGGUAUUUCCGCCAGUGGAGAGCCGGCUCCCGGUCUCCUAACCUCUAAUGCUGGCGUGCCACAGGGAAGCCUCUCCGAUGGUUACCUGCGUUACGCCUGGUGCCUGCCGGCGCGGUGGAAGUCCCUCACCUCCAUAAACACCUAAUUAAUUUCCGUGCUUUUAAGGAAAUUAAGCCGUGCAGCGAUAUGCCGCCAGCGAGCAAAUUGCACGGUGCUGAUGUCACCAAUUAAUGCUUCAAGAAAUAAUAGUGUACUUCAGAUGCUGACUGUUUCUUCCCCUAAAUUAAUUUGUCGCUGUACAAUAAAACAAGACUAUUGUCCUACGCAGAAGUCGCUAAAUUAAUAUUCAGGCCAUGUCCAAAGCAGUAGAAGGGGAAAAAAUAUAAGGGACAUGUCUUUUUCUUUGCUUUUCCUUAGGUCUCCGGGCAAACGGCAUCCAUUCAGUUAAGCGUAUAAGCGUAUAAUAGCACCCAAGGACUGCGGUGACUCGGGCGCUGCUCGCRGAGAUGGUACCGGAACCUGCGCUCGGCAAAGCAGAAGCGCGACGCAGCGGCUUCGGAUGUUUCCCAUGCGGGCGACACCGCGGACCGGAGCGGACCGGAGCGGACCACGGGGCUGCCAGGGCGCCGCGCGGCAGGACGAGGAGGACGAGAGGAGGACGAGAGGAGGACGUUGGCGCAAGUCCACGGUCACCAGGGAGUGAUCUCCGCGCCCGCGGGCGGCGCGGCGUGCACGCCCUCUCGAACGUUUACCUGGCCGGGGCGGUACCGCCGUGCUGCCGAACGCGUGGCGGCUCGGGCGAGCGUAGCGGGAAGCGCCGCCGCGUGCGGGUGCAUCAGCGGAACGAGCUGUAGCCGGGUCUCAUCCUUCCCCGCCGGGCUGGGGCGUGCGGGAAGGGAAAGGAAAACCGAAAGCGGCUUUGCUGGGCGGUGGUGGCUGCAGGUGCGCAGGGAGGAGGCAUUCGGGUAUUUAGGCUGCGGCUGCUUUUAAAGCGCUCUGGGGCUAUCAGCGGGGCGCUGCGGCCGGCUUCCUGCAAAUGCCCUGGAAAUCAAAUCGUCCUGCUGGAGGAGGGCUGAGAGGAGCAGGAACCAAACGCGUCUCGCUCCCACCGGGCCACGCGGGCAGGAGGCAACGUCAGUUUUGAGCGCUGGCUCAAAAAUAGCCAGGCUACUUGUGUUUGUUAUUUAUACUUUAAUUUAUCUGCAUAUCGCUUAGAGCCUUCCUAAGCUUCUGGUGACUUGUAGCUAAGGAAAAGCAACAUCUGGAGACCUUUACUGCUCCACCUGGAUUGCAGCGCAGCCAUGAGCUGGGGUGGGUUGCACCACGGCACGGUUCGGUUAAGUCAAGCCCAGCAUCCUUCUCGGAGGCGAUCAGGAACGGUCUCCAGGGCGUUGGGGCUGGGAAACCCCUCGCUCCUCGGGGACGCGCGCGGCCUGUUACAGGAAUGGGGUGUGAAACUCCUAAGCGUUAGGCGAGAGCA